rnacentral:rRNA from 1 species
GAUGAACGCUGGCGGCGUGCCUAAUACAUGCAAGCCGAGCGAACAGACGAGGAGCUUGCUCCUCUGACGUUAGCGGCGGACGGGUGAGUAACACGUGGAUAACCUACCUAUAAGACUGGGAUAACUUCGGGAAACCGGAGCUAAUACCGGAUAACAUGUUGAACCGCAUGGUUCAACAGUGAAAGACGGUCUUGCUGUCACUUAUAGAUGGAUCCGCGCCGCAUUAGCUAGUUGGUAAGGUAACGGCUUACCAAGGCAACGAUGCGUAGCCGACCUGAGAGGGUGAUCGGCCACACUGGAACUGAGACACGGUCCAGACUCCUACGGGAGGCAGCAGUAGGGAAUCUUCCGCAAUGGGCGAAAGCCUGACGGAGCGACGCCGCGUGAGUGAUGAAGGUCUUCGGAUCGUAAAACUCUGUUAUUAGGGAAGAACAAAUGUGUAAGUAACUAUGCACGUCUUGACGGUACCUAAUCAGAAAGCCACGGCUAACUACGUG